rnacentral:lncRNA from 1 species
CGCGCAAUAUAUUUGAGUUUUGACAUAUUGCUAGUCAUCAUCUCUACGUGAAGUACUCCUAUCUAAACACAAAAUCUGCAGCUUCCAUGAUUUGCUAUUAAGACUAGGUAGGAGUUAAAUAACAUAUUCCUUCAGUUUUGCGGUUCCACGAGAAGAGGGUAAUUACUAUUUAUCAUUUCUGAUAAAUUGUUCUUCCAAGAGAGGUCAGGCACAAGGGAUCAAGAAUUCUAUUAAUCGGUUCGACAGGAGACACCAUUCCACGAGAAGAGGGUAAUUACUAUUUAUCAUUUCUGAUAAAUUGUAAUUCCAAGAGAAGUCAGGCACAAGGGAUCAAGAAUUCUAUUAAUCGGUUCGACAGGAAACACCAUUCCACGAGAAGAGGGUAAUUACUAUUUAUCAUUUCUGAUAAAUUGUUCUUCCAAGAGAGGUCAGGCACAAGGGAUCAAGAAUUCUAUUAAUCGGUUCGACAGGAAACACCAUUCCACGAGAAGAGGGUAAUUACUAUUUAUCAUUUCUGAUAAAUUGUUCUUCCAAGAGAGGUCAGGCACAAGGGAUCAAGAAUUCUAUUAACCAGUUCGACAGGAAACACCAAACCAAUGCCUUUGAAACAGGUAGACCAGUUACUUUCCAUCCAACAACCUUCAUUAUAAUAAAUCUAUAAGUUGUGAGUUAUCUCGAUAAAUAUGAAUUUUUGGUGCAUGAACAGAUUCAAACAUCAACCAGUUACCUACAAUACGCCUUCUGGACACAGCAAGGAUAAAGUGAAAAAAAAGGAAAAAGAAGCUUUUAAAUUCUAUCAACCGGAGUUUCACGUUGCUAAUUCCAAGUCCAUAUAAAAGAGGAUGAAUGUUAUAGUAAAUUGAUGCUGGUGAAAAACUUGUUAAAAUAUGAUUGUCCUCUAAACAUCGAAAAUAUCUCAGUUUUCUUACCAGACAUAAUUUAAAAGUACAAGAAACUAAAACUAAAACUAAAAAUAAGAACUGGUUCGAGUAGAAUGAAAUGGACAUACAUCAUAUAGAAGUGUUUGUGUAGGCUUAUAAGUUGAUCACAUCAGCUAAUGAGCACUUCUUGGCUUAUAUAUGCUUGGUAAGCACCAGAGACAAUUGCAAGCCAAGUACUUAUUAACGAAAAUCAAUUGAAACUCAUUCGUUGGUCACCUUCAACUUAUGACAUUUUAGCUUGUAAUCACUUUUGAUUUGACUAAAGUUUUUGUUCUUUUAUCUCAAGUAUCUUUUGUAAUCUCCGAAAUACCCUCUUCAAGAUAGAACAACGAACUCCCACUCCAUUCUAUUUUCUUCUGAAAUCCCUACGAAAAUCUUUUACAAAUACAAAACAGUAUCUUCCUCUGAAUAAGUGAAUUAGACAGCACUCAGGUGG